rnacentral:misc_RNA from 1 species
GAUGAAGAACGUAGCGAAAUGCGAUACGUAAUGUGAAUUGCAAAUUCAGUGAAUCAUCGAGUCUUUGAACGCACAUUGCGCCCCCUGGUAUUCCGGGGGGCAUGCCUGUCCGAGCGUCAUUGCUGCCCUCAAGCACGGCUUGUGUGUUGGGCCCCGUCCUCCGAUCCCGGGGGACGGGCCCGAAAGGCAGCGGCGGCACCGCGUCCGGUCCUCGAGCGUAUGGGGCUUUGUCACCCGCUCUGUAGGCCCGGCCGGCGCUUGCCGAUCAACCCAAAUUUUUUAUCCAGGUUGAACUCGGAUCAGGUAGGGAUACCCGCUGAACUUAAGCAUAUCAAUAAGCGGAGGA